rnacentral:rRNA from 1 species
AUUGAACGCUGGCGGCAGGCCUAACACAUGCAAGUCGAGCGGAUGAGGAGAGCUUGCUCUCUGAUUUAGCGGCGGACGGGUGAGUAAUGCCUGGGGAUCUGCCCAGUCGAGGGGGAUAACUACUGGAAACGGUAGCUAAUACCGCAUACGCCCUACGGGGGAAAGCAGGGGACCUUCGGGCCUUGCGCGCUUGGAUGAACCGGGGUGGGAUUAGCUAGUUGGUGAGGUAAUGGCUCACCAAGGCGACGAUCCCUAGCUGGUCUGAGAGGAUGAUCAGCCACACUGGAACUGAGACACGGUCCAGACUCCUACGGGAGGCAGCAGUGGGGAAUAUUGCACAAUGGGGGAAACCCUGAUGCAGCCAUGCCGCGUGUGUGAAGAAGGCCUUCGGGUUGUAAAGCACUUUCAGCGAGGAGGAAAGGUUGGUAGCUAAUAACUGCCAGCUGUGACGUUACUCGCAGAAGAAGCACCGGCUAACUCCGUGCCAGCCGCCGCAGUAACAC